GACGAACGCUGGCGGCGUGCUUAACACAUGCAAGUCGAACGGAAAGGCCUCUUUCGGGGGGUACUCGAGUGGCGAACGGGUGAGUAACACGUGAGUAACCUGCCCUUGACUUUGGGAUAACUUCCGGAAACUGGGGCUAAUACCGGCUAGGAGCUCCUGCUGCAUGGUGGGGGUUGGAAAGUUUCGGCGGUUGGGGAUGGACUCGCGGCUUAUCAGCUUGUUGGUGGGGUAGUGGCUUACCAAGGCUUUGACGGGUAGCCGGCCUGAGAGGGUGACCGGCCACAUUGGGACUGAGAGACGGCCCAGACUCCUACGGGAGGCAGCAGUGGGGAAUAUUGAACAAUGGGUGGAAGCCUGAUGCAGCAACGCCGUGUGCGGGAUGACGGCCUUCGGGUUGUAAACCGCUUUCGCUCAUGACGAAGCUUUGUGUGACGGUAGUGGGUAAAGAAGCACCGGCUAACUACGUG
rnacentral:rRNA from 1 species